CAGCCGCCACGGUAAUACGUAGGUGGCAAGCGUUGUCCGGAAUUAUUGGGCGUAAGGGGCUCGCAGGCGGUUUCUUAAGUCUGAUGUGAAAGCCCCCGGCUCAACCGGGGAGGGUCAUUGGAAACUGGGAAACUUGAGUGCAGAAGAGGAGAGUGGAAUUCCACGUGUAGCGGUGAAAUGCGUAGAGAUGUGGAGGAACACCAGUGGCGAAGGCGACUCUCUGGUCUGUAACUGACGCUGAGGAGCGAAAGCGUGGGGAGCGAACAGGAUUAGAUACCCCAGUAGUCCCUGUCUCUUAUAC
rnacentral:rRNA from 1 species